rnacentral:rRNA from 1 species
UCAAAUAAUGUGUGACU